rnacentral:rRNA from 1 species
GAUGAAAGCUGGCGGCGUGCCUAACACAUGCAAGUCGAGCGGUAUAUACUUAAACAAAUCUUCGGAAGAGUGAGAGUAUAGAGAGCGGCGGAUGGGUGAGUAACGCGUAGGCAACCUGCCACAUACAGCGGGACAGCAUCGGGAAACCGGGAUUAAAACCUAAUAACGCGUGAGAGUCCCAUGGCACUUUCGCCAAAGAUUUAUCGGUAUGGGAUGGGCCUGCGUCUGAUUAGCUAGUUGGUGGGGUAACGGCCUACCAAGGCAACGAUCAGUAGCCGACCUGAGAGGGUAAUCGGCCACAUUGGAACUGAGACACGGUCCAAACUCCUACGGGAGGCAGCAGUGGGGAAUAUUGCACAAUGGGCGAAAGCCUGAUGCAGCAACGCCGCGUGAGCGAUGAAGGCCUUUGGGUCGUAAAGCUCUGUCCUUGGGGAAGAAUAAAUGACGGUACCCUUGGAGGAAGCCCCGGCUAACUACGUGCCAGCAGCCGCCGCAG